AACGCAUAUGGCACCCGAGACUUCGGUCGAGGGUAUGUCUGUCUCAGAGUCGACGUAAAAACAUCCCCAGGGAAAAACCAACGCGUUUCCAUCCCUCGGGGGAGCUGGCCCUCCCGGACGGCUGGGUAACGCUACGCCUUUCCGGGUUGGCUGAAGGUAAGAGACGGGGGACCGCUAGCGCCGGGCAGCCACGAUUUUGGUGGGAGGACCUCGCGUCCGCAUCACAGAUCGUGCGCCCUAACCAUAGCGAGCGGCCGUGAAGGACCCCGCCACUGCAGGAACGUGACGUAUUGUAAACUUUACGUCUCUUUUCGACCUGAGAUCAGGCAAGAUCACCCGCUGAACUUAA
rnacentral:misc_RNA from 1 species